rnacentral:rRNA from 1 species
GUCGCACGAGUUCCACUCGUGGCAUAUAGCUCCGUAACACGUGGCCAAACUACCCUUCGGAGACGCAUAACCUCGGGAAACUGAGGCUAAUUCGUCACACGGCUUUCAACCUGGAAUGAUGAAAGCCCCAAACGCUCCGGCGCCGAAGGAUGUGGCUGCGGCCGAUUAGGUAGACGGUGGGGUAACGGCCCACCGUGCCGAUAAUCGGUACGGGUUGUGAGAGCAAGAACCCGGAGACGGAAUCUGAGACAAGAUUCCGGGCCCUACGGGGCGCAGCAGGCGCGAAACCUUUACACUGCACGACAGUGCGAUAAGGGGACCCUGAGUGCACAGGCAUAGUGCCUGUGCUUUUCUCGACCGUAGGGAGGUCCAGGAACAAGAGCUGGGCAAGACCGGUGCCAGCCGCCGCGGUAAUACCGGCAGCUCGAGUGAUGGCCGAUCUUAUUGGGCCUAAAGCGUCCGUAGCUGGCCAAGCAAGUCCGUCGGGAAAUCCACGUGCUCAACAUGUGGGCGACCGGCGGAAACUGCCCGGCUUGGGACCGGAAGGCGCGACGGGUACGUCCAGGGUAGGAGUGAAAUCCCGUAAUCCUGAACGGACCGCCGAUGGGGAAACCACGUCGCGAAACGGAUCCGACAGUGAGGGACGAAGCUAGGGUCUCGAACCGGAUAAAUACCCGGGUAGCCUAGCCGUAACGAUGCUGUUAGGGGGGGCCCCGCUACAACGGGUGCUGUGCCGAAGGGAACCGCUAACAGGCGCCUGGGAAGACGUCCGCAGGAUGAACUUAAGGAAUUGGCGGGGAGCCUACAACGGAGGAGCUGCGGUUAUUGGACUCACGCCGGAAUCUCCCAGAUC